rnacentral:rRNA from 1 species
GCAGCCGCGGUAAUACGGAGGAUGCGAGCGUUAUCCGGAUUUAUUGGGUUUAAAGGGUGCAUAGGUGGUUAAUUAAGUCAGCGGUGAAAGUUUGUGGCUCAACCAUAAAAUUGCCGUUGAAACUGGGGGCCUUGAGUGGGCGAGAAGAAGGCGGAAUGCGUGGUGUAGCGGUGAAAUGCAUAGAUAUCACGCAGAACCCCGAUUGCGAAGGCAGCCUUCCGGCGCCCUACUGACGCUGAGGCACGAAAGUGCGGGGAUCGAACAGG